rnacentral:rRNA from 1 species
UACGAAGGGUGCGAGCGUUGUCCGGAAUUAUUGGGCGUAAAGAGCUCGUAGGCGGUCUGUCGCGUCGAAUGUGAAAACCCGGGGCUCAACUCCGGGCUUGCAUUCGAUACGGGCAGGCUAGAGUUCGGUAGGGGAGUCUGGAAUUCCUGGUGUAGCGGUGAAAUGCGCAGAUAUCAGGAGGAACACCGGUGGCGAAGGCGGGUCUCUGGGCAGUAGCUGACGCUGAUGCGCGACAGCGUGGGGAGCAAACAGG